GUGCCAGCACGCCCGCGGUAAUACGGGGGGUGCUAGCGUUGUUCGGAAUCAUUGGGCGUAAAGAGCGUGUAGGCGGCUGGAUAAGUCAGAUGUGAAAGCCCUGGGCUUAACCCAGGAAGUGCAUUUGAAACUGUUCAGCUUGAGUAAGGGAGAGGAAAGUGGAAUUCCUGGUGUAGAGGUGAAAUUCGUAGAUAUCAGGAGGAACACCGGUGGCGAAGGCGACUUUCUGGCCCUAUACUGACGCUGAGACGCGAGAGCGUGGGUAGCAAACAGGAUUAGAUACCCUGGUAGUCCACGCUGUAAACGAUGUUCACUAGGUGUUGGGGGUAUUGACCCUCUCAGUGCCGCAGCUAACGCAUUAAGUGAACCGCCUGGGGAGUACCGUCGCAAGAUUAAAACUCAAAGGAAUUGACGGGGGCCCGCACAAGCGGUGGAGCAUGUGGUUAAUUCGAUGCAACGCGGAGAACCUUACCUAGGCUUGACAUCCAAGAAUCUUCCUGGAAACAGGAGAAUGCCCUUUGGGGAACCCUGGAACAGGUGCUGCAUGGCUUUCGUCAACUU
rnacentral:rRNA from 1 species